CUCCUAAUUCCUGUAAAGAUGCAAAAUCAUCAAAGAGUAGAGCAAACACGCACCUCAGCUGGACAUACCAGAAGUGGGAUCAAGUGCUUAGGAGGAGUAAACAUCCACUGUUGACCGAUCACACUCGCCUAGACUGCCUCAAUUUAAAAACUGACCAUACGCAGAACAAGCUCUUGCGUGUCAAAUCAGAACAGUUCAGAAGUUUAAUAAGAACUCUAACAGAUUUUAAUCGGACCUAUAUAUCAUAAUUUUAAAAUAUGUUUUGCAUUUUAUGCCUGAUUAUGUACUUACAUGAACCAAAAGAUACAUUGUAUAUUAUCAUAAUUGUACAUUAUAACUAAUAUUAUAUUUUUGUGGUACGACAAUCUUUAUUUGUACAUGUAUAGCAUAAUAUAUUUUGUAUA